rfam:Youngiibacter fragilis 232.1 contig_16, whole genome shotgun sequence.
AUCAUGAUACUUCUGUCCAGUCACAGCCCCCCUUGACCGGGGGACCACGCAAUGAGGGCAGCCAGCGGAGAUCCCGGUGGAGGUGAGAUUCCUAUGA